UACGUAGGGGGCAAGCGUUGUCCGGAAUCAUUGGGCGUAAAGCGCGCGUAGGCGGCCCGGUAAGUCCGUUGUGAAAGUCAAAGGCUCAACCUUUGAACGCCGAUGGAUACUGCCGGGCUAGAGUCCGGAAGAGGCGAGUGGAAUUCCUGGUGUAGCGGUGGAAUGCGCAGAUAUCAGGAGGAACACCAAUAGCGAAGGCAGGUCUCUGGGCCACUACUGACGCUGAGAAGCGAAAGCGUGGGGAGCGAACAGG
rnacentral:rRNA from 1 species